rnacentral:lncRNA from 1 species
GGCUAUGAUGCCAAGCCCUAAACGACGCCGUUUAAGAGGGGUAUAAAAUUCCAAUUUUUUAGCAAAAAUUCAUUCUCUUCCACUCUUCAAAAAAAAAACACAAAAUACUCUCUCAACUCUCAGUCCCUCCUCCGGCCAGGGUCCGGCCGCCUCCACUGUCGACGCCGUCGGGCCGGCCACCGUGCGCGGUGGUCGAAAACUAAAAAAAGGUAAUUUUUUUCUCGUUUUCUUUAUUUUGUUAUCUUUAUUUAUAUUUAUAUAUAUGUAAUCGAAAAGAAAAGAGAAUAAAAAAAAACUUCCAGAUCGAAAAGAAGAAAAAAAGAACAACACUUUGAAUCUGUUUUUUAUUUUCUUUCGAUUGAAUCCUUUUUUUUUUUUACAAAAGUUGUUGGAAGCCCCCGAAAAUCUCGUAGAAAAAAAAUAAAAAUAGAGACCCCCCCUUUUACCAUGGUUUUAGAUGGCUCUUAUAGCCAUUUACAACUCUAUUUUUUUAAUUUAUUAUGCUGUCAUUUCUUCUGCAGGUGCAAAUGGACGGGGGUGGUUGGCGUCAGAGAGCAGGUGGCGUUGGUGGCUGCGAGCAGAGCUAGGAGCGGCGAUGGCAGAAGACUAAGGCUUAGGGUUUCCUAUUUCUUUUUUUGUAUUGGGCCAUUUGGGCUGUUUAGGUUUUGUUUAGGAUUGGGUUUGGGUUUGUUAGUUUUGAUGGGCUUUGGGCUGGGGUUUAUUACUGGGUCCGGGCAAAAUGACCUGCAACAGGGACAAAAUGCAAUUCAACUCUUAAUACAAGGUUUUCAUAAUAUUUUUACCACUUGUGCCCAACCAGCAACCAAUAAACAAAGCAACAAAUUUUAACCAAAAAAAAAAAAAACAGAGGCCUAAAAGUAGAACUUAUAAAAAAAAAAAAGUCGGAAUACAAGAAAGAAAAUAAGUGGGAAAAAGAAUAAGAAAAGAGGAGGCAACACCUUAAUAUAUAAUUAAAUUAAAUUAAAUAUAAAUUUAACAUAUUUAAUUCUAAUUUAUCUUAAAUAUAUUUUUUAUAAAAAGUCAAAUAUAUUUAAUAUUAU